rnacentral:lncRNA from 1 species
UUUUCCAACAACACCCUCAAGUGCCUCCAAGGUGCUGAGGGACGCAGCAAAGUCGUUGGCCCAGAUGUUCCUUCCAUCAACAACACCAGCGAAGAGGUACUUUCCCUCGGGGAAACCAGCCUUGACCAAAUCAAGGGUCUUGGUGCCACGAACCAAGUCAAAUCCAAAGGCAGUCACACCCUUCAACGAAGUCAGGGUCUUGUAUGCUUCAGCAGGGAUAUCAGCGAAGUAAGUCUCAACAAGAACAUUCAAACCAGAAAGAGUUGAUUCAAGUUCAGCAUAGGCUCCAGUGAAGGCCUGGAGUUUGUGGCCCUCAAGAUCCAUAACGAGAACAGGCUCGUCGAGCUGAAUCCAGGUGGCACCAGCAGCCUUAAGCUCGGUGAUCACUUCCCUGUAGACAAAUCAAAGUAAUAAUGUCAGUGUUGGAUUACCAAUAACAUCAAGGACAUGGAUUGAAAAGUAAAAGAAAGAAUAAAGUGGUUGCAUACUUGUAGACAGGGAGAAUUUUGGGGAGAAGAGAGAGAAGGUCAAAUGACUUCUCCACACCCUUGGCAGCCUUAGAAAGCAACAAGUAAGAGACUGGGCCAACAAGUACAGGGACGGUGUCAACACCAAGCUGCAUAAACAUCAAGCUUAUCGGAUCAGAACUUUAGAUAGAAACUACUUUUGGUGCACAAAAGACAACCAGCGUCAAACUAAUCUUUAACAACUAUUCUAUCAACCGGUUGUAUUUUGUGAGUAAGCAAGCGAGUAUAUUCUUAACGUAUCAACAUCUUCUGUGAAAACCAUUCAAUAUAUCUAAAUUCAAACACUGAAUCCACGAACCCAAGUCUAUGAUCUCCAAUAAAUAGUUAUUUAUUAGUAAAUGGAUGAUAAUAAUAAAGAAAGAUACUUACAGCCUUGGCCUCCUUGUACUCAUUCACAGCCUUGUGAGAUGCGUAAGAGAACUUAACGUCAGGGCCCAACUCAGGAACAAUGUAAUGGCUGCACCAAUUAAACAUCAUUACAUUUUUCCACAACUAAGAAAAACAAACAACGUCACUGCAAGACUGCAAGAUCAGAGUUGGAGACUCACUAGUUGGUGUCAAACCACUUGGUCAUCUCCAUGGCGGGAACAGAGGCGUUACCUCUAGCCAUGGAGAAGUAAACAUCCAAACCGAUCUCACCACUGGUGUAACCGUAUCUGGGUGGAACAGCACCGAGCAUGGCGGUGGUGUCGAGAACCUGGUCGUAGUGAGCAAAGGUGUUGCUGGGGAUGUACUUGGUCCCAGCCUCAGACAUCUGCUUCCAGAUGUUAGCCCUGAGAUCAGCGGACACCUUCUGAAGAUCCUCAGCAGUGCUCUUUCCAUCCCAGAAUGAUUCCAAUGCGAACUUGAGCUCUCUCUUAGGGCCCAUACGUGGGUAUCCAACAAUGUGUGACGCCAUUUUGAUUUCUUUUUUUUUACUGCAUCAAACACAAACCAAAUCAAGAUCAGUAUCAAAUAGUAAAAUACAUUCUCUCUUUCAUAACUUUGUUAAUAUAAUAAUAAUAAAUAAGUUUCAUACUCCAAGAAAGCUGCAACUACAGUUCACGUGUUAACAAAUUAAAAUAAAAUAAAAUCGAAAAGUAGAGCUAUAGCAGCUUUUGUCGUAUUAAUGAUUGAAUGAGUCCACUUCAAAGUAGAAUCGAAAACUUUUAGAUCAAAAUCACAUGCAACAUUUGAUGAUGAUUCAAAGCGGAUCUAACACAGACCAAUGAUCAUUUUCGAACGAUGAAUAUAGAUCGCAGAUCAGAUCCAGAUCUACAGAUCGACCGACACCAAAAAAAAAAAACUCAGAUCUGCAAAUGAUGAGCUCUCUCACCGUUUAGAUCUCAGUGAUAAACACGCAAUACGAACAAACGGAUCGGGGAGGAAUGAGCUAAUAUAUUUGAAUUUAAAAAAAUCACACUCGGUAAGUAAUAAACAAUAACGUGGAGACGAAAACGAAAUGAGAAGGGGAAGGGAGCUAAAUAAGGGAGACGUGGGGAAGCCAUAAAAUCUCGGAGACGUACCUCACGGAGGAAGAAUCGGAGAAAGAGGUUUGGCUACGAUGAAGAGAGAGCGAGGAAGGAGAGUGGCUCUGUGAGUUUAUUUAUAGAUACAAUCGUUGGGCUCUGUGUGAUGUGUAGAUCUGGUGGUGGAUAUUUUAAGCAAUAAUCAUAUAUUUCAACAUUUUAUUUUAUUUAGUUUUUCUCUCAUUUUCUUUCUUUCUAAUACGGCUAUUUAUGUGUUCUGAUUUUCUGAGAUCAUUUUCUAAUUUUCUUACCAUAAUUAAGAAAAUUAAUUACUUUUAGAUUGUAAAAGUAAAACUAGACCAAAAAAGGAACAUGUAUGGACGGAACUAUGAGCAAUUUUAUUUGUUCUUCAAUGUAUUUUUAGCUAGGUAUGUAUUUUUAUUUUUUAGCCUUAAGCAUUUAAAAUGUUAACAGUUUAUACAUGGAUACUUGGAUUAUUUUUUAAGAACGAACUUUUAGAUGAUAUCUUAACGAAUUGACAGGAAUAUCGUAAUUACAAAUUUGUAAAAUACCGGUAAUGGUAUUAAAUAUUUUCAUUAGUAAAGCUAAAUCAUUUUUACAGCAGUAAAGUCCAAUCAUUUAAUUAAAACGUAUUUAUAAAAGUAUAUUAAAGCGAUUAAAUAGAGGAUUAAAACGUGAAGGGGAGUUGGUGUCUACGUAUAUGAGGGAUUAGUAGUAGUGGGUCCUACGGAGGUUGGUGGAGAUUCACAUUUCACAGUGAAGUUUCUGUUAAAUACGGCUGCGUUUAGUGUCGGCCCGAAGAGUAUCGACAUCGAGGCCUGUUCCGCAGUGUUUUGAAAACCAAGUUGGAGUGGUUAUUGAACCUGAUUAUUUUUGAUGAAUUUGAUUUUUUGCUUCAAUACUUUUUGGAAUGUUAUUAUUAGAUUCAUACAAGUUAAAUUUUCGCUAGUUAACAUGUAACUAUUUCGAUGAUGGUUCAUUUUCCUCUUUAUACAGUGGUCAGUAAAUACUAGUAGUAUUCAUCUUUUUUUUUUUGGAUCAAACUAGUAGUAUUCAUCUAUCACCCACCAAUAAAAGCUUAGGCAACUGAGAUAAACUGGAUCAAAAUAUUUUGGUGGAUGAAUAUAGUAGUAGGUAAUGAAAGGGAGAUUAUGGAUCCAUGAUGUAUAUGUUAUUGUUUUAAGAUUCAUAAACAAAGUGAUGAGUGCUCUUUUACCAAAAAAAAAAAGAAAAAAAAAAAAAAAGAAGUGAUGAGUGGUCUUCAUCUUGUUGUUUGCUUUGAUAAUUCGGCCACCAAACAUUGAUUCUAUUAACGUCAUCGCUUCCCUUGAUUACAUGGUAAUUAUCCUUCUCGUCUUAUUUUACUGAAUUUUUGGGUGUAUUUUGAAUAUUAGUGAUAUUCACAAGACUCAACAGUCCAUAUCACAUACUGCUAAUAGAUUACGAAUAUAAUAUUUAUGCACAGUGAGAUAAGUAUGUUAUAUCUUAUACCAGUCGUUAAUCCUCAGUUUUAUUACGCAACUCAAAGUCUAACCUAUAGAAUAGCACAUACACUAGUUGAUUAUUAAUUAUAAAGCUCUUUUGCGUGACUUGUAAGAUUAUUCUAAGUUCAACAACUAGUUUGGAACUGUGUAGGUCUAUUUUAAGAGAUGACGUUGUUGCAAACUCAGAAAACAGUCAACAAAGUGCUGCUUUUCCUUACGGACGCCAACAAAAUGCUUAUUAAAGACUGUUUGACACAAUAUGGAUACUAAAUUAUAGGCUAACUAUAUAGUUUGUAUUAGUUUUAUUACUAGCAAUUGUCAAUCGCACGGCAUAAGUUUAACAGCAGUUACAUGUGACUUUACAAGAAGAUUUGCAUAUGCAUCCUUAAAGUUGUUUUGUCGGUGGAUUUAGAUCUACCAUCAUAAUAACAGCAAAAGUCGUACGAGCAUUUAAUGAAAAUUCUCCUUUUCUUUUUUCAUUUUCAUUUUAUUGUUCUGCAACCUAAACAAGUAAUACCAUAAUCAAGCUCAAACGAAAAAAAAAGAAGAAGAAGAUCUGUAAUAUACUUUAUGAAAUUAUUGAACUAAUUCGUAUGCGAAUUGUGAAAAUUAUACGACUUAUGAUAUAUGGUGUACGCAUCCCUUUUUUUUUGCCAUCUUGAGUUUGGUAGAUCGUUUAGUAAACGAAUCACAAGAUCCAAAAACAUCCUUAUUGCUGGCUUAUUAAACUUUGUGAUUAAACUAUGAUAAAGGAAUGCUUUUAGGCAUGUGACAUAUUACAUGAUUACAUAUGCAUUAUGAUUUGAAUUGAAAUAUGAUAAUUUAAAUAAUUUAUAAAUCUUUUGUAAUGUAUACAUGCUAAUUUAAAGAACACAAAGACUAAGAAAUUAUUCAUCUAAUCUCAAUCACAAGGCUCCAUGUUAAAAGUGAGUAAAACAUGAAAAUGAAAGCCAACCACUUUUUAGGUAGAGUCCAUUCUUAUAGAUUACACAAUGCUAACCCUAUAGCUAGAGUUGAAAAGAACAACGAUGUAGAGCAACUCUACCUUUUAGACAAUGUUCAAAGAAGAAUCCAAACAUCAAUAAUUUCUGGAAUAAAAUUUAGGAGACUAACUUCUUAGCCUUGUAUUCUCUGCGAACUCUCCUGAGCUCUACAGUCUGGGGGAAGGAUCCAAUGGUGGUGGUUGGCAGGAUUGGGAGGUUAAGCUUCUUCUGCUGAGCAUCUAACCUAGCGCUAACAUUAGUUGCACGACGGUGGUCUGAGCCCUUCAAAGCAGCAGCCUGAGAUAACAAAUCAGAAACCAUCUCGAUCAAUAAAUGCUAAGGAGAAAUCAGUGACUGUGGAGAUGGCUGAGGUUUGCGCCAAACUUACAGCCUUCUGGACACCCUCGUUGGUGACUCUUGGGGAAGACCUCCUUGAAGCCAAAGCAGCAGCGUUGGCGGAGAAAAGGGCCUGAAAGGGAAUACAAUAUUAGCAUUCUAGUGUUUACUAAAUCAUUUACAUUGCAAAACUAUUCAAGGAUUUAAUAAAGUAGGUGGAUAAAAUUUCUACCUCAUCCUUCUGACCAGCCAAAGCCUUGGCCAGUGCGUUCACUUCAACGAUCUUCUGGGCAGCAAACGCCAACCAUGACUUGAUUUCGUCGUCAAGCUUGGUCUCGUUUACAAGAUCGACAGCGGUGUGGAGAAGAGAGCAGGAGGUUGAGACCACAAGCUUGUCUGAAUCAAUGCAGAAAGAUAACAGAUCAACGUUUGAAAUAUUUGUUUAGUAUAUUUUCGGGUGACUCAGGUAAAAGGCAGGCGAUUCUGGAAGCACUUAUUUACCUUUUCCAACAACACCCUCAAGUGCCUCCAAGGUGCUGAGAGACGCAGCAAAGUCAUUGGCCCAGAUGUUCCUUCCAUCAACAACACCAGCGAAGAGGUACUUUCCCUCGGGGAAACCAGCCUUGACUAAAUCAAGGGUCUUUGUGCCACGAACCAAGUCAAAUCCAAAGGCAGUCACACCCUUCAACGAAGUUAGGGUCUUGUAUGCUUCAGCAGGGAUAUCAGCGAAGUAGGUCUCAACAAGAACAUUCAAACCAGACAGAGUUGAUUCAAGUUCAGCAUAAGCCCCAGUGAGGGCCUGGAGUUUGUGGCCCUCAAGAUCCAUGACAAGGACAGGCUCGUCAAGCUGAAUCCAGGUGGCACCAGCUGCCUUAAGCUCUGUGAUCACUUCCCUGUACACAAAUCAAAGUCAUAAUAUCAGUGACAUGUUAGACGAUCAUUCAUAACUAAAAUAAAAAGGAAGUGAUUUCUUACUUGUAGACAGGGAGAAUUUUGGGGAGAAGAGAAAGAAGGUCAAAAGACUUCUCUACACCCUUGGCAGCCUUAGAAAGCAACAAGUAAGAGACAGGGCCAACAAGUACGGGGACGGUGUCAACACCAAGCUGCAUAACAUAAAGUUUUAUAGGAUCAGAACUUCAGAAUAGCAAUCUAGCAGAUGAAAGAAAGAAACCUACUUUAAGUGUACAAACGACAAUUAGCAGAAGAACAAGAAACUACUUUAGGUGUCAAAACACAACCAGAGUCAAAUUAAUUUAUAUCAGCUAUUCUAUCAAGUAACUGGUGUUUAUGAAUGUGCAAGUGAGUAUAUUCUUAAUUCAUCACUUGUCUAUGUGAUUAUGUGAAACAGCGUUCAGUGAAUCUAAGCUCAAACAGUAAAUCCUGGAACCAAAGCCUAUUAUCUCUAAUAGAUUAGUCCUAAAGCAGACUGUAAAAUUCAUAAGAAAUUGAAAAUAGCGAAGAAUAAUACGUACAGCCUUGGCCUCCUUGUACUCAUUCACAGCCUUGUGCGAUGCGUACGAAAAGUUAACCUCAGGGCCCAACUCAGGGACGAUGUAAUGGCUGCAUCAACAAAACAUCAUUACAUUAGUCCAAUAUUCAAAAAAAAAAGCCCAACUAACAAUGUCGCUGCAAGGGAGACGAGACUCACUAGUUGGUGUCAAACCACUUGGUCAUCUCCAUGGCGGGAACAGAGGCAUUUCCUCUAGCCAUGGAGAAGUAAACAUCCAACCCAAUCUCACCACCGGUGUAACCGUAUCUGGGUGGAACAGCACCGAGCAUGGCGGUGGUGUCAAGAACCUGAUCGUAGUGAGCAAAGGUGUUGCUUGGGAUGUACUUGGUCCCAGCCUCAGACAUCUGCUUCCAGAUACCCGACCUGAUAUCAGCAGACACCUUCUGAAGAUCCUCAGCAGUGCUCUUCUUAUCCCAGAAUGACUCCAACGCGAACUUGAGCUCUCUCUUGGGGCCCAUACGUGGAUAUCCAACAAUGUGCGACGCCAUUUUUGAUUUUCUUUAACUGCAACAAACAAAACAAACAAGAUCAAUAUCUCAUAUUUAAAUAAAAGAUUUAUUAAUAUAUAUAAUAAUAAGGCUAAGUUACUGACUCCAAGAAAGCAGCCAACAACAGUUCACGUGUACGCAAAAAAAAAAAAUAUCGAAAAGUGUAGCAGCUUUUUGUCGUAUUAUAUGAUUGAGAUAAACGAGACGAGUCCACUUCAGAGUGGAAUUUGAAAAGUUUUAGAUCAGAUCACAUGCAACAUUUUAUCACUAGGAGAUGAUCUAAAGCGGAUCUAACACACACGAGCUCAUAACGACGACCAUUUUCAAUAGAUCGCAAAUCAGAUCGAGAACCAGAUCUACGAAUCGAAUAACACUAGAAACUCAGAUCUGUGACUGAUGAAGUCUCUCACCGUUUAGAUAUACACUACGAACAAACAGAUCGCGGAGAAAUAGAACCAAAUAUGAUAUUCAAAUCUAAUCACAGUCGAGAGAGUAGUAAUAACAAUAACAACAACGUGGAGACGAAGAACGAAAUGAAUAACGAAGGGGGAAGCUAGCUAAAUAAGGGAGAACGUAGGGAAGGUAGAGAAACUCGGAGACGUACCUCACGGAGGAAGAAUCGGAGAAGAGAAGAAGAAAGGGUUGGCUACGAAGAAGAGAAGGCGAGGAAGGAGAGUGGGCUUGCGAGUUUAUUUAUAGCAAAAACAAAUAAUGAUAGAUCGUUGGGCUCUCUGCAUUAUUGUCUAGAUCUGGUGGUUGAUAUUUUCGGCAUUUAUCAUUUAUUUUUCAUUUUAUUUUCUUUUUACGGCUAUUUAUUUGCAUUUAUUUUCCUACAAUAUAUUUUCUUACCAAAAGUGUGGAAAAUUAAUAAGUAUGAAUAAAGCUAGUAAAUACGAUUCUAUCAGUACUACAACAUACCUAUCACCUUUUCAUUUUAUUUUCCCACAAUAUGUUUUGAUUUCAGAAAAAAAACAGUCACUAAUUUUCUUUAUUUGUCUCCCUCACCACAUAUUAUUUAUAAUUAAAUCAUAUAUAUACUCGAAUACUAAAUAAAAUAAAUUCAUAUAAAACUUAGUUAAAAAAAUUAUUAGUAAUUUAUGUUCUUCAAUGUAUUUUAGUUGCGUAUGUAUUUUGGCUUGAAAUUUAAAAAUAUGAACAAAGUAAUAUAUGGUUCACUAAAACGGAUCUUUAGAUAAUAUCUUAACUAAUUAACAGAAAUAUCUUAGCUUCAAAUUUGUAUUAGUAGUUUGGAUUAGUAAAGAUCAAUCUAUUUAUUUUUACUGUAGUAAAUCCUAAUCAUCUAGUUAGUCGUAUUAAGAAAUUAAAUAGAGAAUUAAAACGUGAAGGGGAGUUGGUGGUGUGCGUGGAGCGAUUAGUAGGUGGCAUGGGACCCACGGAGGUUGGUGGGGAUUCACAUUUCACAGUGAAGUUUCUGCUAAAUACGACGGCGUUUAGCAUUCAGCACGAAGAGUAUCGACAUUGAGCGCUGCUCGUGCUCGGCAGCGUUUUGGAAACCAUGUGGAGGUUGAAGCUGACUAUUUUUGAUAAAAUAAAAAAUAAAUUCCCAUAAUUUGACUACUAAAAAUACAUUUUAGGUUAGUAAAUACAAUAGUCAUAAUCAUGAUAUUUAUGUUUUUAUAGAACUGGCCGAGAAAAAUAUUAUGGUUGGUGACUAUAGUUGGUGGAGAAGGAUUGUGGCCCCACAAUAUAUAUGUAAUUGUUUAAGAUUCAUAAGCAAAGUGAUGAGUGGUCUUGAUGUUGUUGUUUGCUGAUGAUUUGGCCACCGUAUAUUGAUUCUUAACUUAUAUUAUCUUCAUCGCUUCCCUUAAUUACAUCUUACUUUUUCCUUCUAAUCCUAUUUUGAAUUUUCUUUAUGUUUUUAUGAAGUUAAAUCUUGAAUAUUAAUGAUAAGCAAAAAAAUUUUGACGCUUGCAAAAUAAACUUUGUAUAGACAUCUUAAGAACCUCACUGUUUCUCAAGCUUGCGUUAGGACAUUCGAAGGACUAAAAGUCUAUAUCACAUACUAGUAGUCUAAGAAAUCUAUGCAUAGUGGGAUCGAUAUGGUUUUUCUCAUACCAAUCAUUGAUCCUUAAUUUUAUCAUGUAGUUCAAUGUUUAUAGAAGUCUAACCAUAGUACAUACACUACUUUAUUAAUGUAUAAGCUCUUGUAGAGGGAGUCGUGAGUAUGGUCCAAGUUCAAGAACUAGGUUGGACUUUUUGAGUACCAUUCUCUUGUAUCGGAAACUGUGUAGGUGUGUAUUUCGAGUUUAAAAAAUAAUAAAAUGUAGAAGAUGGUGAUGCUGCUCCAAACCGACAAUUCAGGGCCUGACUGGUUCAACCGCAGCGGUUGCGGUUGCGGGAGUUUGCGGAUGCGGGUGGUUGCGGUUUCUAGCGGUUUUAAGAGAUUCGUACGACUGGUUAUGCGGUUAGAAAUUGGUAAACUCCGAAAACACAAGGCAAAGAUCAAUCUCUAGAUGCCCUGGGAUAUCUAUUCGAAAAAGUUUCCAUACUUGGAGAAGAACCAAUCUUUAUUUCCUUUCAAUACACCUUUUUUAGCUUCCAUACUUGGAGAAGAACCAAUCUUUAUUUCCUUUAAAUACCCCUUAGAAAAAAAGAUAUGUUUCAUAAGAGAAAUGAAGGAUACAAAACGAGAAACACAAAACAAAUCCAAAAGAUACAUAUCUCUCAACUCUCUCAGCAAGAGGGGAAACCAUAUGCAUCAAACCUAACUUCAACUAGAUAUUUUUAGAAAGGUAAUUAAACAAAACAAAAACACAACCAUUAUAGAGAAAAAGAACUCAAGUAUCCUUCUUCAAAUCAUUCAUCUCUUUUCAAGCUUUUCUUCACUUGGCACUGGCGAGCUGGGAGCGGAUGAGUUUAGCCGCAUCAACCAUGUUCUUCAGGGCAGGCUUGACCUCUGUGUACUUACGGGUCUUGAGACCACAGUCAGGGUUAACCCAAAGGAUGUUCUGCUCAAGAACAGCAAGCAUCUUGUUCACUCUCUCUGCGAUUUCCUCAGUUGAUGGUAUUCUUGGAGAGUGGAUGUCGUAGACACCUGGACCAAUUCCAGCACCGUACUUCACUCCUUCACGGAACACAGAGAGAAGCUUCUCAUCAGAUCGGGAGUUCUCGAUGGUGAUGACAUCAGCAUCCAUGUCGAUGAUGGAGUGUAUGAUGUCAUUGAAGUGAGAGUAGCACAUGUGAGUGUGGAUCUGCAUAAUAACACCACCAUAAGAAAACGGAAAAAACACUUCACUCUAGUAUAUACGAGCGAUAUGUGUUUGAAGGAAGCAAACCUGGGUGGUGUCUUGGACUCCACAGUUGGUGAUUCUGAAGGAGUGAACAGCCCAGUCCAAGUAGAAAGCAUGCUCGGAUUUCCUGAGUGGUAAUCCUUCUCUGAGUGCAGCCUCAUCGAUCUGAAUGACAUUAAUACCACCUUUCUCAAGAUCCUCGACUUCGUCCUUGAUGGCCAGAGCGAUCUGGUAACAGGUCUCGUGCCUACAAAGUUUUUCAGAUAUAUACGUUUUAGUCAUUUUGUUGUAAGCUGUGUUUGUUUCAGACUUGAGAGUUUUUAUUUUGUGUACCUGGGCUGGUCAUUUCUGACAAAGGACCAGUUAAGAAUGGUGACAGGGCCGGUAAGCAUUCCCUUCAUUGGGCGAGAGGUCAUGCUCUGAGCCAUUGCGGACCAGAAGACGGUCAUUGCCUUGGGACGGCUCACAUCACCGUAGAUAACUGGUGGCUUCACACAACGAGAUCCAUAAGAUUGGACCCAUCCAUUUGCGGUGAAGGCAAAACCAGACAACUGCUCCCCGAAGUACUCAACCAUGUCGUUUCUCUACAAAAUUGUUGAAACGUGUCUCGUCAGAAACAUUAAAACGGACUACCAUCAAUAACUUUGAAUUGUCAGUACUCUACUUCGAGGGUUCAAGCAAUAACAUAUAACAUUAAAAAGAAAACACUCACCUCUGGCUCUCCGUGAACGAGAACAUCAAUGUCAAGUUCCUCUUGGAGGUCAACAACUUUCUUGAUCUCUUCCUUCAUGGCCUUAACAUAGUCCUCCUCGGAAACCCUAUCAAAGAGAUUCACCGUUAGUAUCAUACCGUUUAAGGAGAUACCAGGAAUAAAAUUUAGGAGACUAACUUCUUAGCCUUGUAUUCUCUGCGAACUCUCCUGAGCUCUACAGUCUGGGGGAAGGACCCAAUGGUGGUGGUUGGCAGGAUUGGGAGGUUAAGCUUCUUCUGCUGAGCAUCUAACCUAGCGCUAACAUUAGUUGCACGACGGUGGUCUGAGCCCUUCAAAGCAGCAGCCUGAGAUAACAAAUCAGAAACCAUCUCGAUCAAUAAAUGCUAAGGAGAAAUCAGUGACUGUGGAGAUGGCUGAGGUUUGCGCCAAACUUACAGCCUUCUGGACACCCUCGUUGGUGACUCUUGGGGAAGACCUCCUUGAAGCCAAAGCAGCAGCGUUGGCGGAGAAAAGGGCCUGAAAGGGAAUACAAUAUUAGCAUUCUAGUGUUUACUAAAUCAUUUACAUUGCAAAACUAUUCAAGGAUUUAAUAAAGUAGGUGGAUAAAAUUUCUACCUCAUCCUUCUGACCAGCCAAAGCCUUGGCCAGUGCGUUCACUUCAACGAUCUUCUGGGCAGCAAACGCCAACCAUGACUUGAUUUCGUCGUCAAGCUUGGUCUCGUUUACAAGAUCGACGGCGGUGUGGAGAAGAGAGCAGGAGGUUGAGACUACAAGCUUGUCUGAAUCAAUGCAGAAAGAUAUAACAGGUCAACGGUUGAAAUUUUUGUUUCUCAGUAAUCCCUUAGUAUAUUGUCGGUGACUCGGUAAAAGGAAGAUGAUUAUGGAAGCACUUAUAUUAUAUACCUUUUCCAACAACACCCUCAAGUGCCUCCAAGGUGCUGAGGGACGCAGCAAAGUCGUUGGCCCAGAUGUUCCUUCCAUCAACAACACCAGCGAAGAGGUACUUUCCCUCGGGGAAACCAGCCUUGACCAAAUCAAGGGUCUUGGUGCCACGAACCAAGUCAAAUCCAAAGGCAGUCACACCCUUCAACGAAGUCAGGGUCUUGUAUGCUUCAGCAGGGAUAUCAGCGAAGUAAGUCUCAACAAGAACAUUCAAACCAGAAAGAGUUGAUUCAAGUUCAGCAUAGGCUCCAGUGAAGGCCUGGAGUUUGUGGCCCUCAAGAUCCAUAACGAGAACAGGCUCGUCGAGCUGAAUCCAGGUGGCACCAGCAGCCUUAAGCUCGGUGAUCACUUCCCUGUAGACAAAUCAAAGUAAUAAUGUCAGUGUUGGAUUACCAAUAACAUCAAGGACAUGGAUUGAAAAGUAAAAGAAAGAAU